rnacentral:rRNA from 1 species
UCUGGAAACUNUCUGACUUGAGUGCAGAAGGGGAGAGUGGAAUUCCAUGUGUAGCGGUGAAAUGCGUAGGUAUAUGGAGGANCACCAGUGGCGAAAGCGGCUCUCUGGUCUGUCACUGACGCUGAGGCUCGAAAGCGUGGGUAGCGAACAGGAUUAGAUACCCUGGUAGUCCACGCCGUAAACGAUGAGUGCUAGGUGUUAGGCCCUUUCCGGGGCUUAGUGCCGGAGCUAACGCAAUAAGCACUCCGCCUGGGGAGUACGACCGCAAGGUUGAAACUCAAAGGAAUUGACGGGGGCCCGCACAAGCGGUGGAGCAUGUGGUUUAAUUCGAAGCAACGCGAAGAACCUUACCAGGUCUUGACAUCCCGAUGCUAUUCUUAGAGAUAGGAAGUUACUUCGGUACAUCGGAGACAGGUGGUGCAUGGUUGUCGUCAGCUCGUGUCGUGAGAUGUUGGGUUAAGUCCCGCAACGAGCGCAACCCUUAUUGUUAGUUGCCAUCAUUAAGUUGGGCACUCUAGCGAGACUGCCGGUAAUAAACCGGAGGAAGGUGGGGAUGACGUCAAAUCAUCAUGCCCCUUAUGACCUGGGCUACACACGUGCUACAAUGGUCGGUACAACGAGUUGCGAGCCGGUGACGGCAAGCUAAUCUCUGAAAGCCGAUCUCAGUUCGGAUUGGAGGCUGCAACUCGCCUCCAUGAAGUCGGAAUCGCUAGUAAUCGCGGAUCAGCACGCCGCGGUGAAUACGUUCCCGGGCCUUGUACACACCGCCCGUCACACCACGAGAGUUUGUAACACCCGAAGUCGGUGAGGUAACCUUUUAGGGGCCAGCC